UCCCCUAGAGCAUGACAGCAAGGAGCCCCGAUCGUCCGAUCCCCGACGCAGCUCAGUUAUUGACCCGCUCACUCGUCUGGGGGCCACGACUGCGCGCGCACCCCGCUAAAGCACAGCCUAGUCCGACCUAGGCAUUCUGCACGCAAUGCCUGCGCCUUGCGACGGCUGCAAAGACACGUGCAGCGGUGGCACUGCAGCAUGCGGUGCCAACUGCACGUGCGGCCCGAACUGCGCGUGCGGCGAUGGCAAACCCUCAGGGGGUAAGCCAUGCUGCCAAGGAGGCAAAAAAUAAAUUUUCGGCCUUACACGUCACCUGAAUUCUUCUCAAAAUGAAUCUAUUUUACACUUAGUACUCUGUAUUUAUUGCAUUGUAGCAUAAUAUUAUAAUGUAUAAUUCUCUAACGUAUAUCAUGUAGUGGUUUAUGAAAAAUCUAUAUUUUAGUACCUAAUUUCAAAAUGGAUAAUGUUGUGUGGUCAUGAAAUAAAAUAAAUAUACUCGUAUUUAGGUAAUGAGACUUAUUGAUGUAUUAAUUAUUAUGAUCUUAUUAUUAUUAAUAUUGUAUUUAGCAUAAUCUCUAAGUUAGUCUCGUCUCUGCUUAUCGCUUCAAUGUAAGAUGUAGUAUUAAUAAUUAAUAUUUUAUCACAUUCAGUGUAGGACUUAAGAUUAUUAAUAAUGGAAAUAGAUCAGUGGCUGACAUUUAUGUAGGAGAAUCUAGUACUUUUAAUACUCAUUAGUGUAAGAAAGUGUAGCGAAAAUGCA